rnacentral:rRNA from 1 species
UACGGGAGGCAGCAGUGGGGAAUAUUGCACAAUGGGCGCAAGCCUGAUGCAGCCAUGCCGCGUGUAUGAAGAAGGCCUUCGGGUUGUAAAGUACUUUCAGUCGUGAGGAAGGUGUUAAGGUUAAUAACCUUAGCAAUUGACGUUAGCGACAGAAGAAGCACCGGCUAACUCCGUGCCAGCAGCCGCGGUAAUACGGAGGGUGCGAGCGUUAAUCGGAAUUACUGGGCGUAAAGGGCACGCAGGCGGUUAAUUAAGUUGGAUGUGAAAUCCCCGGGCUUAACCUGGGAAUGGCAUUCAAGACUGGUUAGCUAGAGUCUUGUAGAGGGGGUAGAAUUCCAUGUGUAGCGGUGAAAUGCGUAGAGAUGUGGAGGAAUACCGGUGCGAAGGCGGCCCCUGGACAAGACUGACGCUCAUGUGCGAAAGCGUGGGGAGCAAACAGGGAUUAGAUACC